rnacentral:misc_RNA from 1 species
UUAUAUAAAAUAUGCAAGUACUCACAUGGUUUGUGUUGUACAUGUUCCCUCCCCUAUAUAAAAGAGAGAGAUGGAGUGUUAAAGAAGAGAGAGAUAUUAUUAUGGGUUUGAAGAAUGACUUGGUGGUGUACACAAGAUUAGAAUGUGAGAGCUGUGAGGAAAUGACUUGUUGUAUAGAGAAAGCUAAAGAAGAAGGAGCAGAUCUGGUGGAGCUUUGCAUUGACGACUUCACUUUCUCUGACAUUUCACAACUUGAAGAACUACUCAAGCAAAGAAGUUUACCAUCCAUAGUUUCUUUCAGGCCAAAAUCUCCGAUAAAUUCUGAGGGCAAGAAAACAUGUAUCCAAGUUCUCAAAUUAGCUGUGGAAUUGGACGUUGAGUUCGUCGAAGUCGACACUCAGGUUGUCUGCCAUCAAGUGGUUGCUGAAUUGAUGAAGAGCCGAUCAAAUAGCAAAAUAAUUGCUUCUACUUAUGUCAAUGGUGGAAACCCUACUAAAGACACACUUUGUAAUUCCAUCAUAAACCUGCAGUCCACAGGAGCAGAUAUCAUCAAACUUGUCAUUGAUGUAGCUUAUAUUACAGACGUUGCACCAGUUUUCCAUAUGCUUACACAUUCUCAGGUCCCUCUAAUUGUUAGGGCAGCAGGGGGCGAACUUUAAGGAGGG